GACGAACGCUAGCUGCGUGCUUAACACAUGCAAGUCGAACGGAAAGGCCCUGCUUGUGUGCGGUGCUCGAGUGGCACACGGGUGCGUAACACGUGAGUAUCCUGCCCUUGCCUUUGGGAUAACUUCAAGAAACUGGGGCUAAUACCGGUUAGUAGCUCCUUCUGCAUGGUGGGUGUGGUAAAGUUUCGGCGGUUCGGGAUUGACUCGCGGCUUAUCAGCUGGUUGGUGUGGUAGUGGCUUACCAAGGCUUUGACGGGUAGCCGGCCUGAGAGGGUGACCGGCAACAUGGCGAAAGAGAUACGGGAGACAGUAGUAAGGGAGGCAGGAGUGUGGAAUAAUGCAUGAAGGGCGGAAGUCGCAUGCAGCAAGGCGGCGUGAGGGAUUACGGCCUUCGGGUUGGAAACGGCUUUCGCAUGUGACGAAGCGUGAGUGAAGGUAAUGGGUAAAGAAGCACCGGCUAACUACGUG
rnacentral:rRNA from 1 species